ACUCCUACGGGAGGCAGCAGUGGGGAAUAUUGCACAAUGGGGAAAACCCUGAUGCAGCCAUGCCGCGUGUGUGAAGAAGGCCUUCGGGUUGUAAAGCACUUUCAGUAGGGAGGAAGGUAGUGUAGUUACACCUGCAUUAUUGACGUUACCUACAGAAGAAGCACCGGCUAACUCCGUGCCAGCAGCCGCGGUAAUACGGAGGGUGCGAGCGUUAAUCGGAAUUACUGGGCGUAAAGCGCAUGCAGGCGGCCUGUUAAGUCAGAUGUGAAAGCCCGGGGCUUAACCUCGGAAUUGCAUUUGAAACUGGCAGGCUAGAGUCUUGUAGAGGGGGUA
rnacentral:rRNA from 1 species